AGAGUUUGAUCCUGGCUCAGGAUGAACGCUAGCGACAGGCCUAACACAUGCAAGUCGAGGGGCAGCGAAGAGGUAGCAAUACCUUUGUCGGCGACCGGCGCACGGGUGAGUAACACGUAUGCAAUCCACCUGUAACAGGGGGAUAACCCGGAGAAAUCCGGACUAAUACCCCAUAAUAUGGGCGCUCCGCAUGGAGAGCCCAUUAAAGAGAGCAAUUUUGGUUACAGACGAGCAUGCGCUCCAUUAGCCAGUUGGCGGGGUAACGGCCCACCAAAGCGACGAUGGAUAGGGGUUCUGAGAGGAAGGUCCCCCACAUUGGAACUGAGACACGGUCCAAACUCCUACGGGAGGCAGCAGUGAGGAAUAUUGGUCAAUGGACGAGAGUCUGAACCAGCCAAGUAGCGUGAAGGAUGACUGCCCUAUGGGUUGUAAACUUCUUUUAUAUGGGAAUAAAGUUUUCCACGUGUGGAAUUUUGUAUGUACCAUAUGAAUAAGGAUCGGCUAACUCCGUGCCAGCAGCCGCGGUAAUACGGAGGAUCCGAGCGUUAUCCGGAUUUAUUGGGUUUAAAGGGAGCGUAGAUGGAUGUUUAAGUCAGUUGUGAAAGUUUGCGGCUCAACCGUAAAAUUGCAGUUGAUACUGGAUAUCUUGAGUGCAGUUGAGGCAGGCGGAAUUCGUGGUGUAGCGGUGAAAUGCUUAGAUAUCACGAAGAACUCCGAUUGCGAAGGCAGCCUGCUAAGCUGCAACUGACAUUGAGGCUCGAAAGUGUGGGUAUCAAACAGGAUUAGAUACCCUGGUAGUCCACACGGUAAACGAUGAAUACUCGCUGUUUGCGAUAUACGGCAAGCGGCCAAGCGAAAGCGUUAAGUAUUCCACCUGGGGAGUACGCCGGCAACGGUGAAACUCAAAGGAAUUGACGGGGGCCCGCACAAGCGGAGGAACAUGUGGUUUAAUUCGAUGAUACGCGAGGAACCUUACCCGGGCUUGAAUUGCAACUGAAUGAUGUGGAGACAUGUCAGCCGCAAGGCAGUUGUGAAGGUGCUGCAUGGUUGUCGUCAGCUCGUGCCGUGAGGUGUCGGCUUAAGUGCCAUAACGAGCGCAACCCUUAUCUUUAGUUACUAACAGGUCAUGCUGAGGACUCUAGAGAGACUGCCGUCGUAAGAUGUGAGGAAGGUGGGGAUGACGUCAAAUCAGCACGGCCCUUACGUCCGGGGCUACACACGUGUUACAAUGGGGGGUACAGAAGGCAGCUACACGGCGACGUGAUGCUAAUCCCUAAAGCCUCUCUCAGUUCGGAUUGGAGUCUGCAACCCGACUCCAUGAAGCUGGAUUCGCUAGUAAUCGCGCAUCAGCCAUGGCGCGGUGAAUACGUUCCCGGGCCUUGUACACACCGCCCGUCAAGCCAUGGGAGCCGGGGGUACCUGAAGUACGUAACCGCAAGGAUCGUCCUAGGGUAAAACUGGUGACUGGGGCUAAGUCGUAACAAGGUAGCCGUACCGGAAGGUGCGGCUG
rnacentral:rRNA from 1 species